UGCUCUGAAUGUCAAAGUGAAGAAAUUC
rnacentral:piRNA from 7 species